rnacentral:rRNA from 1 species
GACGAACGCUGGCGGCGUGCUUAACACAUGCAAGUCGAACGAAGUGGCGAACGGGUGAGUAACGCGUAAUCAACCUGCCCUUCAGAGGGGGACAACAGUUGGAAACGACUGCUAUUACCGCUUACUGAAGGAGGGGAUUGCGUCUGAUUAGCUAGUUGGAGGGGGAACGGCCUACCAAGGCGAUGAUCAGUAACCGGUCUGGGGGGGAGAACGGGCAACAUGGGACUGGGAACCGGGCCAGAAUCCUACGGGAGGGAGCAGUGGGGAAUCUUCCGAAAUUGACGGAAGGCUGACGGAGCAACGCCGGGUGGGUGAUGACAGGCUUCGGGUUGUAAAACUCUGUUAAUCGGGACGCGGUACCGGAAGAGGAAGCCACGGCUAACUACGUGCCAGCAGCCGCGGUAAUUC